rnacentral:rRNA from 1 species
AGAAUCAACGCUGGCGGCGUGCCUAACACAUGCAAGUCGAACGCGAAAGCCCCGCAAGGGGCAAGUAGAGUGGCAAACGGGUGAGUAACACGUGGGUGACCUGCCUUCGAGCGGGGGAUAACGUCCCGAAAGGGACGCCAAUAGCGCAUAACAUCCUGCCUUUGAAGAGGUGGAGAUCAAAGCUGGGGAUCGCAAGACCCGGCACUUGAAGAGGGGCCCGCGCCUGAUUAGCUAGUUGGUGGGGUAAUGGCCUACCAAGGCAACGAUCAGUA